UGUGGAAAAGAAUUCUAUGAGACCAGGUCUCACGCAAGACCCAUCCUGAUAAAUGAUACGUGGCAUUCAUAAAUCACAAAGCAUCCCUCACCCCCCACUUAAAAUCAAGGAAAAAAAAUUAAAUGCUUUGUGAUUUGUGAAUGUCACGUGUCAUUCAUCAGGACGGGUCUCACCUGCUAACGGUGAGACCUGAUCUUAUAUAAUAUUUUUCCGUCCGCUCUUCGGUACACCUGUGCGUGCGGAGAGGAAAUCGAGGGGUUGGCCGCGGGCACGGAGCAUACCAGGAAAUGCGAGGAAGCGAAGAAGGCGGCCCAGGCGGCGAAGGCUCGUGAGCUGGCGGCCCAGAGGGCGCGGGAGUUGGAGCUGAAGGCCGCGCGUAGGGGCCGCGAUUAAACAACUCAGCAAAGGCAGGCAUCAAGGGCAGGGGAAGAACAAAACAGCAAGUGUUGUAUCAUGGCGAAAUAAAGCACAAUGUCAGGAGAUUCAUCUGUUCUACUGAUAUAAUGUACUCCUUUGAACAUAUUAUGUCUUGCCUAUUUUGAACUCCUAUGAACAUAUUACUUCACAUAUUACCUGCCGUGCUCACA